rnacentral:rRNA from 1 species
CAGCAGCCGCGGGAAUACAGAGGGUGCGAGCGUUAAUCGGAUUUACUGGGCGUAAAGCGUGCGUAGGCGGCUUCUUAAGUCGGAUGUGAAAUCCCUGAGCUUAACUUAGGAAUUGCAUUCGAUACUGGGAAGCUAGAGUAUGGGAGAGGAUGGUAGAAUUCCAGGUGUAGCGGUGAAAUGCGUAGAGAUCUGGAGGAAUACCGAUGGCGAAGGCAGCCAUCUGGCCUAAUACUGACGCUGAGGUACGAAAGCAUGGGGAGCAAACAGGAUUAGAUACCCGAGUAGUCCCUGUCUCUUAUAC